GGGGAGUGACUCGGCGUGUAAAGUGCUUGCAGCUCUACAGAAGCCCAGCACGCACGUAAAGCCGGAUGCACUAGUGAAUAUCCAUAAGCCGUGUGCUCCUCCAGAGAAGAAGCAGUGAGGCAGAGAGAGGAGGAUUCCCAGAAGCUCUCAGGCCAGCUAGCCUGCUCCGUCUCAAACAAGGUAGAAGGUCCUGGUCCCUACUCCUUGGGAAUGAUGUCGCUCACUUUCAGAGCAGUCCUUUCUCCAUUACAGACACACCCAAAGGAGUGCCUCAUUAAUGUUCCAGAGCAAAGGAACCAGACACCAAUGAAAACGGAUGGUCCAAGUGAUCCGGCAUCCAAAACUGCUUCAAGGCUGCUGGCUGAGAGGGUCCAGACUCACCGAUUACUCCAAUUGGGACUUAAUUAUUAUCUCAAUUUUCUCAAGGUUCCCCCAAAGAUGUCAGUGCCCCCAAACAACAGGAAGUAGUCUAGAGAACCAUGCCCACACUCCUAAAAUAUUGGUUAUGGAUGUUUGUUAUCAUUUAAGGGGUGUUGGUUACAAGUUAUUGGUAAUAGUAAAAAAAAAAAUCUAAACAAAAGAGUUAUAUUCAAAGAUCUCUUUCUAAAAAAGGGGGGGUAGUAAUGAUAUACGAAUGAUAGGGAAAAAGAGUAGAUUAUUGAAUCUAUUUUAGUCCCCUAAACAACUAUUAAUCUCAAAAUAUUUUAUAUUGGUAUGGAUUUUGGUUUAUUGAUACAAAUUUAAAUUUAAUUUUGUUAUACAGUAUGUAUGUUUCUGUUCUUUAGGGUAUUAUGUUUAUGCAGCUCAUUUAAACAUGUAAUAUAUAAUUAAGAAAUAAAGAUUAAUAGUCAUCUGUAAUAGUCUAACUUAUAGUCAUGUUAGGUAUGUGUUCAAGGUCAUGAACAGAUAUAUUUAGACUUAUAGAUGGUCUUCAAACACUUCAAAGACCUAUAGAAUAUGGCAUUUAAUAUGUUUAAUAACCUAAAGCUUUUCACAGUGAAACAUGUCUGCUUCUGACAGCACCAAAUUGUUUCAAAAGAGGAUGAUGGACACUGGAGAAAUUCUAUAUGGAGUUUGCUUUCUUUGUAGCAAAAAUUAAUUAUUUGGGCAAAAAACUGCCCUUGUCUCAAUUACUGACAGUUAUUGUCCAAAGUGGACUAGCAGGAUGCAAGAAAGGCAACUGUUGAACUUUGCUAAGACAAGGUAGGACAGUCCUUCAGAAUUCCCUGAUUCACAGGAAAGUCUGUUAGAUAUGCUAGGCCUGUAGGCCAAGAACCUAGGGUGAAUGUCCAGGCAGUCUGAUGUCCUUGUCAUUUGGUAACAUUUUACCCUUCUGAGGUCUUCGAUGGAGUUGAAAAAUAGAUAGGUAUAGUUUUCCUUAGUUAUGAUUGAUGGUAAUUUAGGUACAAAACUUUGAACUCACAAAGAUAAGAUAGAUAAUAGAGUAUUUUCUCUAAUUUUGCCAAAUAGAAAUGGACUAGAUAUUGUAACUGUAAUUCUUACUUGAUAACUGUUUUUGUUGCAUAUCAUUUUAUUAUGUUAAAGUUAAAACCUUCCUUUUUAUUUAUAUAAAAUGGGGGAAAUGCUGUGGAAUAUUCCUUUACACUGUGUGAAUAUAUGUCUCUAUGAUUGGCUUAAUAAAAAGCUGAUUGGCCGAUAGUCAGUCAGGUGGUAUAGGUGGGAUGACCACACUAAGGAUGCUGGGAUGAAGAAGGGCAGAGUCAGGAGUUGCCAGUAGAUGCAGAGGGAGCAGGAGAUGAAUGUGCCAUUCUAAUAAAGGUACUGCCACAUAGCAGAGCAUACAUAAGGAAUAUGGGUUAACUUAAAAUGUGGGAGCUAGUUAGUAAUAAACCUGAACUAUUGACCAAUCAUUUGUAAUUAAUAUAAGCCUCAGUGUUUGAUUUGAGAGAAGCUGCAGAACACGAAAACUCUGCCUACAUAAAUUGAACAUAAAAAUCUAAAGCCUAUUGCAUUCAUUUAAUCCAUAUUUUAAGUCUUUGUUCUUGACAUUAUUCCCUAA